rnacentral:rRNA from 1 species
AUUGAACGCUAGCGAUAGGCUUAACACAUGCAAGUCGAGGGGCAGCAUAGAGAUAGUUUACUAUUUCUGAUGGCGACCGGCGCACGGGUGAGUAACGCGUAUGCAAUCUACCUCAUACAAAGGGAUAGCCCGGAGAAAUUCGGAUUAAUACCAUAUAGUACUAGCAGAUCGCAUGAUUUGUUAUUUAAAGAUUUAUCGGUAUGAGAUGAGCAUGCGUUCCAUUAGCUUGUUGGUAAGGUAACGGCUUACCAAGGCAACGAUGGAUAGGGGAACUGAGAGGCUGAUCGGCCACACUGGGACUGAGACACGGCCCAGACUCCUACGGGAGGCAGCAGUGGGGAAUAUUGGGCAAUGGGCGCAAGCCUGACCCAGCAACGCCGCGUGAAGGAAGAAGGUC